rnacentral:rRNA from 1 species
GCGGUGCGCAGCUUACCAUGCAGUUGACGGAGUCAGCUUGUAGCACGGUGUGCUCAUGGCAUUCAGGGAUGGAUGCGGUUUACCUGUGGGGUAGAUUGAGCACAGCGUGCUAUGAGCUGACUUAGUGGCGGACGGGUGAGUAACACGUAGGUAACCAACCCUCAAGGGGGGGACAACAUCGGGAAACCGGUGCUAAUACCGCAUAAGACCACGGACUGGGAUGUUUGUGGUAAAAGGAGCAAUCCACUUGAGGAUGGGCCUGCGGCCUAUCAGGUAGUUGGUAAGGUAAAGGCUUACCAAGCCUAAGACGGGUAGCCGGACUGAGAGGUUGGACGGCCACACUGGAACUGAGACACGGUCCAGACUCCUACGGGAGGCAGCAGUGGGGAAUUUUGCGCAAUGGGCGAAAGCCUGACGCAGCGACGCCGCGUGGAGGAUGAAGGUCUUCGGAUUGUAAACUCCUUUUGUAGGGGAAGAUAAUGACGGUACCCUAUGAAUAAGCCACGGCUAACUCUGUGCCAGCAGCCGCGGUAAGACAGAGGUGGCAAGCGUUGUUCGGAAUUACUGGGCUUAAAGGGCGCGUAGGUGGUGAUGCAAGUCUGAGGUGGAAGGCUGGGGCUUAACCCUGGAAUUGCCUUGGAAACUGCAUUACUUGAGUCAGACAGGGGAUGGCGGAAUUCCUGGUGUAGCGGUGAAAUGCGUAGAUAUCAGGAGGAAGGCCGGUGGCGAAGGCGGCCAUCUGGGUCUGAACUGACACUGAGGCGCGAAAGCGUGGGGAGCAAACAGGAUUAGAUACCCUGGUAGUCCACGCCCUAAACGGUGGAUACUAGGUGUGGGGCUCGUAAGGGUUCCGUGCCGAAUGUAAACCAUUAAGUAUCCCGCCUGGGGAGUACGGCCGCAAGGUUGAAACUCAAGGAAUUGACGG